rnacentral:rRNA from 1 species
CUACGGGCCGCAGCAGUCGAGAAUCUUCGGCAAUGGACGAAAGACUGACCGAGCGACGCCGCGUGCGGGAUGAAGGCCUUCGGGUUGUAAACCGCUGUCAGAGGGAAGGAAAUUUUGACCGAUCCUCAAAGGAAGUACGGGCUAAGUUCGUGCCAGCAGCCGCGGUAAGACGAACCGUACAAACGUUAUUCGGAAUCACUGGGCUUAAAGGGUGCGUAGGUGGUCUAUUAAGUUGGGUGUGAAAUCCCUCGGCUCAACCGAGGAACUGCGCUCAAUACUGGUAGACUUGAGGGAGAUAGAGGUGAGCGGAACUGAUGGUGGAGCGGUGAAAUGCGUUGAUAUCAUCGGGAACACCUGUGGCGAAAGCGGCUCACUGGAUCUCUUCUGACACUGAGGCACGAAAGCUAGGGGAGCGAACGGGAUUAGAUACCCCCGUAGUC